CUCCGCACUCCUACGGGAGGCAGCAGUGGGGAAUAUUGCACAAUGGGCGCAAGCCUGAUGCAGCCAUGCCGCGUGUAUGAAGAAGGCCUUCGGGUUGUAAAGUACUUUCAGCAGUGAGGAAGGUGGGUAUGUUAAUAGCAUACUCAUUUGACGUUAGCUGCAGAAGAAGCACCGGCUAACUCCGUGCCAGCAGCCGCGGUAAUACGGAGGGUGCGAGCGUUAAUCGGAAUUACUGGGCGUAAAGCGCAUGCAGGUGGUUUGUUAAGUCAGAUGUGAAAGCCCGGGGCUCAACCUCGGAAUUGCAUUUAGAAACUGGACAAACUAGAGUACUGUAGAGGGGGUAGAAUUUCAGGUGUAGCGGUGAAAUGCGUAGAGAUCUGAAGGAAUACCGGUGGCGAAGGCGGCCCCCUGGACAGAUACUGACACUCAGAUGCGAAAGCGUGGGGAGCAAACAGGAUUAGAUACCCUGGUAG
rnacentral:rRNA from 1 species